rnacentral:rRNA from 1 species
AACGAACGCUGGCGGCAGGCCUAACACAUGCAAGUCGAGCGAUACCAGCAAUGGUGGAGCGGCAGACGGGUGAGUAACACGUGGGAACGUACCCUUCGGUUCGGAAUAACUCAGGGAAACUUGAGCUAAUACCGGAUACGUCCGAGAGGAGAAAGAUUUAUCGCCAUUGGAGCGGCCCGCGUCUGAUUAGCUAGUUGGUGAGGUAAAGGCUCACCAAGGCUACGAUCAGUAGCNGGUCUGAGAGGAUGAUCAGCCACACUGGGACUGAGACACGGCCCAGACUCCUACGGGAGGCAGCAGUGGGGAAUCUUGCGCAAUGGGCGCAAGCCUGAUCCAGCCAUGCCGCGUGAGUGAUGAAGGCCCUAGGGUUGUAAAGCUCUUUCGGCGGGGACGAUAAUGACGGUACCCGCAGAAGAAGCCCCGGCUAACUUCGUG